GUCCUGGCAGUAAACGGUGCACGUUUGGUGUGGGAGGAUUCGACCCCUUCUGCGCCGGAGCUAACGCGUUAAACGUGCCGCCUGGGGAGUACGGUCGCAAGAUUAAAACUCAAAGAAAUUGACGGGGGCCCGCACAAGCGGUGGAGUAUGUGGCUUAAUUCGAUGCAACGCGAAGAACCUUACCUGGCCUUGACAUGCAUCUCUAAGCUGGUGAAAGCCAGUGACUCCCGAAAGGGAGAAUUUGCACAGGUGCUGCAUGGCUGUCGU
rnacentral:rRNA from 1 species